rnacentral:rRNA from 1 species
AGAGUUUGAUCCUGGCUCAGAUUGAACGCUGGCGGCAUGCUUUACACAUGCAAGUCGAACGGCAGCACGGGGCAACCUGGUGGCGAGUGGCGAACGGGUGAGUAAUACAUCGGAACGUGCCCAAUCGUGGGGGAUAACGUAGCGAAAGUUACGCUAAUACCGCAUACGAUCUACGGAUGAAAGCGGGGGAUCGCAAGACCUCGCGCGAAUGGAGCGGCCGAUGUCAGAUUAGGUAGUUGGUGGGGUAAAGGCUCACCAAGCCAACGAUCUGUAGCUGGUCUGAGAGGAUGAUCCGCCACACUGGAACUGAGACACGGUCCAGACUCCUACGGGAGGCAGCAGUGGGGAAUUUUGGACAAUGGGGGCAACCCUGAUCCAGCCAUGCCGCGUGAGUGAAGAAGGCCUUCGGGUUGUAAAGCUCUUUCGGCCGGGAAGAAAUCGCAUGGGCCAAUACCUUGUGUGGAUGACGGUACCGGAAUAAGAAGCACCGGCUAACUACGUG